GGACUGUUAAGAAGAGAGAAUGCCGGAAUGAGUAGCGAGAUGGAGGUGGGAAUCCUCCAGGCCGAAUAUCCAAGGUUUCCAGGGUAAAGCUGAUCUGCCCUGGGGAAGUCGGGGCCUAAGGCGAGGUCGAAAGACGUAGCUGAUGGACAACAGGUUGAUAUUCCUGUACUAUCAUAUGACAGAACUGUGGGGACGCAGAAAGAGAGCCUGAGCCGGGAAAGGGAAAACCGGUGCAAGCGGGGUAGGAGUCGUGUAGGCAAAUCCGCACGGCAAUCCGAAGACGUGAUGCGGAGCGAACUAAAGUAGCGAAGCAGGUGAGCUGGCUGCCAAGAAAAGCCGCUAUUGUUCAUAUGAUACCCGUACCGUAAACCGACACAGGUGGAUGAGGAGAGAAUCCUAAGGCCGGCGGGAGAAGCAUUGUUAAGGAACUCGGCAAAAUGACCCCGUAACUUCGGGAGAAGGGGUGCCUGCGAGAGCAGGCCGCAGAGAAUAGGCUCAAGCAACUGUUUAGCAAAAACACAGGUCUAUGCGAAACCGAAAGGUGAGGUAUAUGGGCUGACGCCUGCCCGGUGCUGGAAGGUUAAGAGGAGAUGUCAGGAAACGAAGCAUUGAAUUUAAGCCCCAGUAAACGGCGGCCGUAACUAUAACGGUCCUAAGGUAGCGAAAUUCCUUGUCGGGUAAGUUCCGACCCGCACGAAAGGCGUAAUGAUUUGAGCGCUGUCUCGACAAUGCACCCGGUGAAAUUGAAGUACCAGUGAAGAUGCUGGUUACCUGCGCCAGGACGGAAAGACCCCAUGGAGCUUUACUCCAGCUUGAUACUGGGAUCCGAUGCUGUAUGUACAGGAUAGGUGGGAGGCUGAGAAGCGGUGACGCCAGUUGCCGCAGAGCCGAUGUUGGGAUACCACCCUUGCAGUAUUGGAUUUCUAACCAGCUGCCGUGACCCGGCAGUGGGACAAUGUCUGGCGGGGAGUUUGACUGGGGCGGUCGCCUCCGAAAGGGUAUCGGAGGCGCUCAAAGGUUCCCUCAGGAUGGUUGGAAACCAUCCGAAGAGUGCAAAGGCAGAAGGGAGCUUGACUGCGACACCGACGGGUGGAGCAGGUACGAAAGUAGGACUUAGUGAUCCGGUGGUAUUAAGUGGGAAUGCCAUCGCUCAACGGAUAAAAGCUACCCUGGGGAUAACAGGCUUAUCACUCCCAAGAGUUCACAUCGACGGAGUGGUUUGGCACCUCGAUGUCGGCUCAUCGCAUCCUGGGGCUGUAGCAGGUCCCAAGGGUUGGGCUGUUCGCCCAUUAAAGCGGUACGCGAGCUGGGUUCAGAACGUCGUGAGACAGUUCGGUCCCUAUCCGGCGCAGGCGGAGGAUAAUUGAGAGGAGCUGCCCUUAGUACGAGAGGACCGGGGUGGACGGACCGCUGGUGUAUCUGUUGGCUACCAAAGCCAUGGCAGAGUAGCCAAGUCCGGCAGGGAUAAACGCUGAAGGCAUCUAAGCGUGAAGCCCCCCUCAAGAUGAGUUAUCCCAAUAAGUAAGACCCCUUAGAGAGUAUGAGGUAGAUAGGUUUGAGGUGGAAGUGCAGUAAUGCAUGGAGCUGACAAAUACUAAUCGGUCGAGGGCUUAUCCU
rnacentral:rRNA from 1 species